GCACAGUUUAUACCGUAGCUUGCUACACCAUAGACUGUGAGUUGCGAACGGGUGAGUAACGCGUAGGUAACCUGCCUAUUAGAGGGGGAUAACUAUUGGAAACGAUAGCUAAUACCGCAUAACAGUAUGUAACACAUGUUAGAUGCUUGAAAGAUGCAAUUGCAUCGCUAGUAGAUGGACCUGCGUUGUAUUAGCUAGUAGGUAGGGUAAUGGCCUACCUAGGCGACGAUACAUAGCCGACCUGAGAGGGUGAUCGGCCACACUGGGACUGAGACACGGCCCAGACUCCUACGGGAGGCAGCAGUAGGGAAUCUUCGGCAAUGGGGGGAACCCUGACCGAGCAACGCCGCGUGAGUGAAGAAGGUUUUCGGAUCGUAAAGCUCUGUUGUUAAGGAAGAACGAGUGUGAGAAUGGAAAGUUCAUACUGUGACGGUACUUAACCAGAAAGGGACGGCUAACUACGUGCCAGCAGCCGCGGUAAUACGUAGGUCCCGAGCGUUGUCCGGAUUUAUUGGGCGUAAAGCGAGCGCAGGCGGUUAGAAAAGUCUGAAGUGAAAGGCAGUGGCUCAACCAUUGUAGGCUUUGGAAACUGUUUAACUUGAGUGCAGAAGGGGAGAGUGGAAUUCCAUGUGUAGCGGUGAAAUGCGUAGAUAUAUGGAGGAACACCGGUGGCGAAAGCGGCUCUCUGGUCUGUAACUGACGCUGAGGCUCGAAAGCGUGGGGAGCGAACAGGAUUAGAUACCCUGGUAGUC
rnacentral:rRNA from 1 species